rnacentral:rRNA from 1 species
AUUGAACGCUGGCGGCAGGCCUAACACAUGCAAGUCGAACGGUAGCACAGAGAGCUUGCUCUGGGUGACGAGUGGCGGACGGGUGAGUAAUGUCUGGGAAACUGCCCGAUGGAGGGGGAUAACUACUGGAAACGGUAGCUAAUACCGCAUAACGUCGCAAGACCAAAGUGGGGGACCUUCGGGCCUCACACCAUCGGAUGUGCCCAGAUGGGAUUAGCUAGUAGGUGGGGUAAUGGCUCACCUAGGCGACGAUCCCUAGCUGGUCUGAGAGGAUGACCAGCCACACUGGAACUGAGACACGGUCCAGACUCCUACGGGAGGCAGCAGUGGGGAAUAUUGCACAAUGGGCGCAAGCCUGAUGCAGCCAUGCCGCGUGUAUGAAGAAGGCCUUCGGGUUGUAAAGUACUUUCAGCGGGGAGGAAGGCGGUGGAGUUAAUAACUUCACCGAUUGACGUUACCCGCAGAAGAAGCACCGGCUAACUCCGUGCCAGCCGCCGCAGUAA